rnacentral:piRNA from 3 species
UACCCAAAGCAAUGGUUGUAGCCAAUGG